rnacentral:tRNA from 1 species
UCCGCAUUAGUGUAGGGGUUAACAUACUCCGCUUUCAAAACCAAUUCCGGAGAGCCCCGGGUUCGAUUCCCGGAUGCGGAA